UACGAAGGGUGCAAGCGUUACUCGGAAUUACUGGGCGUAAAGCGUGCGUAGGCGGUUUGUUAAGUCCGUUGUGAAAGCCCUGGGCUCAACCUGGGAAUUGCAGUGGAUACUGGCGAGCUAGAGUGCGGUAGAGGAUGGUGGAAUUCCCGGUGUAGCGGUGAAAUGCGUAGAGAUCGGGAGGAACACCCGUGGCGAAGGCGACCAUCUGGACCAGCACUGACGCUGAGGCACGAAAGCGUGGGGAGCAAACA
rnacentral:rRNA from 1 species